GGCAACUAAGCAGCAAUAGCAUAGUCAUAAGCACUUGAAUAAACUGUCGUCGCAUUUGAUGCUACAGAAGUCCUAAAUUAACUAGCAGCUUCUGUAUUGUUUUUCGACCCCAUNUGAGUGUCAUUUUGCGGAACAACAUUUUCAAUGGACUCUGAUUCUUUCUGCUUUCCGUCAUCAGCUACCUCAACUGCUUCUUCUUGACUUGGAUCGCCAACAAUUUCAUGCUUCUCAUCUGACUCUGGC
rnacentral:misc_RNA from 1 species